rnacentral:rRNA from 1 species
AUUGAACGCUGGCGGCAUGCCUUACACAUGCAAGUCGAACGGCAGCACGGGAGCAAUCCUGGUGGCGAGUGGCGAACGGGUGAGUAAUAUAUCGGAACGUGCCCAGUCGUGGGGAAUAACGUAGCGAAAGCUACGCUAAUACCGCAUACGAUCUAUGGAUGAAAGCGGGGGAUCGCAAGACCUCGCGCGAUUGGAGCGGCCGAUAUCAGAUUAGGUAGUUGGUGGGGUAAAAGCCUACCAAGCCUUCGAUCUGUAGCUGGUCUGAGAGGACGACCAGCCACACUGGAACUGAGACACGGUCCAGACUCCUACGGGAGGCAGCAGUGGGGAAUUUUGGACAAUGGGCGCAAGCCUGAUCCAGCAAUGUCGCGUGCAGGAUGAAGGCC